rnacentral:misc_RNA from 1 species
GUAGGUGAACCUGCGGAAGGAUCAUUACAAAUCCAAAACAAACACUCGUUUAAAUGUUUUCGGCCUUGGGGCUCUGAAUGGCUUUUGGAUGAGGGGGAGAGACGAAAGUCUCAAUAAUCUGAAAGCCCAGUGCCAUUUAUAUCAGUAUUGUUACUCUCACAAGCUAGGUGUCUUUUAGGGUCUUGUACUCUUCUUGCGCCUUUCUUUGGGUGUGAUGAUCCCCUGGUAUAUUCAACCAAGGUUCGUCUUA